UACAGAGGGGGCGAGCGUUGUUCGGAAUUACUGGGCGUAAAGGGCGCGUAGGCGGCCCGCUAAGUCGAACGUGAAAUCCCCAGGCUCAACCUGGGAACUGCGUCCGAUACUGGCAGGCUUGAAUCCGGGAGAGGGAUGUGGAAUUCCAGGUGUAGCGGUGAAAUGCGUAGAUAUCAGGAGGAACACCGAUGGCGAAGGCAGGUCUCUGGGCAUUAACUGACGCUGAGGAGCGAAAGCAUGGGGAGCGAACAGG
rnacentral:rRNA from 1 species